rnacentral:rRNA from 1 species
CAGUCGAGCGGACAGAAGGGAGCUUGCUCCCGGAUGUUAGCGGCGGACGGGUGAGUAACACGUGGGUAACCUGCCUGUAAGACUGGGAUAACUCCGGGAAACCGGAGCUAAUACCGGAUAAUUCCUUGAACCGCAAGGUUCAAGGAUGAAAGACGGUUUCGGCUGUCACUUACGGAUGGACCCGCGGCGCAUUAGCUAGUUGGUGAGGUAACGGCUCACCAAGGCCACGAUGCGUAGCCAACCUGAGAGGGUGAUCGGCCACACUGGGACUGAGACACGGCCCAGACUCCUACGGGAGGCAGCAGUAGGGAAUCUUCCGCAAUGGACGAAAGUCUGACGGAGCAACGCCGCGUGAAUGAUGAAGGUUUUCGGAUCGUAAAGCUCUGUUGUUAGGGAAGAACAAGUGCAAGAGUAACUGCUUGCACCUUGACGGUACCUAACCAGAAAGCCACGGCUAACUACGUGCCAGCAACCGCGGUAAUACGUAUGUGGCAAGCGUUGUCCGGAAUUAUUGGGCGUAAAGGGCUCGCAGGCUGUAUCUUAAUUCUGAUGUGAAAGCCCCCGGCUCAACAGGGGAGGGUCAUUGGAAACUGGGAAACUUGAGUGCAGGAAUAGGAGAGUGGAAUUCCACGUGUAGCGGUGAAAUGCGUAGAGAUGUGGAGGCACACCAGAUGGCGAACGCGACUCUCUGGUCUGUAACUGACGCUGAGGAGCGAGAGCGUGGGGAGCGACAGAUUAGAUACCCUGGUAGUCCACGCCGUAGACGAUGAGUGCUAGUGUUAAGGUGGUUUCCGCCCCCUUAAUGCUGCAGCUACGCAUUAGCACUGCGGCCUGGGGGAGUACUGUCACAGACUGAACUCAAUGAAUUGACCGGGGCCCGCAGCAGCAGUUG